UACGGAGGGUGCAAGCGUUAGUCGGAAUUACUGGGCGUAAAGGGUGCGUAGGCGGGGAUAUAAGUCAGAUGUGAAAAACCGAAGCUCAACUUCGGCAGUGCAUCUGAAACUGUAUUUCUAGAGGGAGAGCGGAGAAAACGGAAUUCCACGUGUAGCGGUGAAAUGCGUAGAUAUGUGGAAGAACACCUGUGGCGAAAGCGGUUUUCUAGCUUACCCCUGACGCUGAGGCACGAAAGCAAGGGGAGCAAACAGG
rnacentral:rRNA from 1 species